ensembl:snoRNA SNORA70 Small nucleolar RNA SNORA70
CUGCAGCCAAUUAAGCCAACCGUGCUGUCUCCCCAUGGGGCCUGGUGUGCAGCCUCCUCAGUCGUAUAUGCAGCCUGUUGCUUCUAUGAGUUGCCUUAGAGGAGGCAGUC